rnacentral:lncRNA from 1 species
UUCCCUUUAUGUAAUAACGCAGGUAAUGAAAAAUGACUGGUUUAAUCACCUAACCACGCAAUCUUCACUACAAGCCGAGCAAAAUGAUGUAUAUGGUAACCAAUGAUUUUCUCAAGAGGCCCACAGAGAGCAUUGUCGACUUCAGGAUUUUGACUAGUUGAUGGAAGUAACUGCUGAUCCGGUGAUGUGAGAACUCAACUCGUUUCUUUUUUCCUUUUUUGCCUACAGGCCAUGUAGGAAUAGUACCAACUGCCAACUGCAAAUUGGUGGUUUAAUAUUGCCAUCGCUCCGAUUUAAACCCUUGAGCUGUUCCGGAUGACUGGCCAACACGGAUGCUUCCUGCUCAAACAAUGUAUACAGUGAAGUUGAGUUGAUGAUGUCAAAUGAACAGGGUGGCGUGUCCACCAUCUUCAGAGGUAUGAGAGAAUAGGAGUUAAGUUGAUCAGGACGUCGUGAGUUGGUAUUGUGCUUGUGAAUGGGACAACUUAAGAAGUGAAAACCAAAUGUGGAGUAAGUAGCCCAUGCGCAGACAGUGGUAGCUGGACCAAAUCAGCACUGCGAGCGUGUUCAUCUCCAAAGGAAGAAGAACAUAACUCAGUGGGAUAAGUAAAGAAAGAAGGAUGGCUUAAGAAAGUGCGCCCGGUUUUGUAACGUAGCCAGCCGAAAUGCUCCAUGCCUGGAUUACGUGUGUGCACGCCCAUGUUUGUUUGUGAAGCGUGUAAGGAACAACUGCUAACUAAACAACGGGUCGCAGGGGACAAAGCAUAGGGUUAUUGGCCGGCAACAUGAUCCUGGUGGCGGAUGAUUAUAUGC